rnacentral:rRNA from 1 species
GACGAACGCUGGCGGCGUGCCUAAUACAUGCAAGUAGAACGCUGAAGGAGGAGCUUGCUCUUCUGGAUGAGUUGCGAACGGGUGAGUAACGCGUAGGUAACCUGCCUGGUAGCGGGGGAUAACUAUUGGAAACGAUAGCUAAUACCGCAUAACAGUAGAUGUUGCAUGACAUUUACUUAAAAGGUGCAAUUGCAUCACUACCAGAUGGACCUGCGUUGUAUUAGCUAGUUGGUGGGGUAACGGCUCACCAAGGCGACGAUACAUAGCCGACCUGAGAGGGUGAUCGGCCACACUGGGACUGAGACACGGACCAGACUCCUACGGGAGGCAGCAGUAGGGAAUCUUCGGCAAUGGACGGAAGUCUGACCGAGCAACGCCGCGUGAGUGAAGAAGGUUUUCGGAUCGUAAAGCUCUGUUGUAAGAGAAGAACGAGUGUGAGAGUGGAAAGUUCACACUGUGACGGUAUCUUACCAGAAAGGGACGGCUAACUACGUG